AACGAACGUUAGCGGCGCGCCUAACACAUGCAAGUCGAACGCGGCAGGGGCAACUCUGUCGAGUGGCGCACGGGUGAGUAACACGUAGGUAAUCUUCCCUCGAGUGGUGGAUAACCCUCCGAAAGGAGAGCUAAUACAGCAUGAGACCACGGCUUCGAAAGGAGCUGAGGUCAAAGCGGAGGAUCGCAAGACUUCGCGCUUGAGGAUGAGCCUGCGGCCCAUCAGGUAGUUGGCGGGGUAAUGGCCCACCAAGCCAUAGACGGGUAGCUGGUCUGAGAGGAUGAUCAGCCACACUGGAACUGAGACACGGUCCAGACUCCUACGGGAGGCAGCAGUGGGGAAUCAUGCGCAAUGGACGAAAGUCUGACGCAGCGACGCCGCGUGGGUGAUGAAGGCCUUCGGGUUGUAAAGCCCUGUGGGGAGGGACGAAUAAGUUCCGGUUAAUACCCGGAGCGAUGACGGUACCUCCUUAGCAAGCACCGGCUAACUCUGUGC
rnacentral:rRNA from 1 species